rnacentral:rRNA from 1 species
ACUCAAAGGAAUAGACGGGGGUCCGCACAAGCGGUGGAACAUGUGGUUUAAUUCGAUACUACGCGAGGAACCUUACCUGGGUUUGACAUGUUUUUGACAGUCGUGGAAACACGAUCUUCCAAGUUUACUUGGACAAUUGCACAGGUGCUGCAUGGUUGUCGUCAGCUCGUGUCGUGAGAUGUUUGGUUAAGUCCUCUAACGAGCGCAACUCUUGCUGUCAGUUGCUAUCACUUCGGUGAGCACUCUGGCGGGACUGCCCGGGAAACCGGGAGGAAGGUGGGAAUGACGUCAAAUCAUCAUGGUCCUUAUACCCAGGGCUACACACGUGUUACAAUGGCCGGUACAGAGGGUUGCUAUCCCGUAAGGGUGUGCUAAUCUCAUAAAGCCGGUCUAAGUUCGGAUUGAGGUCUGCAACUCGACCUCAUGAAGUUGAAAUCGCUAGUAAUCGCAUAUCAGAUACGAUGCGGUGAAUACGUUCUCGGACCUUGCACACACCGCCCGU